rnacentral:rRNA from 1 species
GACGAAGGGGGCUAGCGUUGUUCGGAAUUACUGGGCGUAAAGCGCGUGUAGGCGGUUAUCCAAGUCGGGUGUGAAAGCCUUGAGCUCAACUCAAGAAAUGCGACUCGGUACUGGGUGACUAGAGGACCGGAGAGGAUAGUGGAAUUCCCAGUGUAGUGGUGAAAUACGUAGAGAUUGGGAAGAACACCAGUGGCGAAGGCGGCUAUCUGGACGGUUUCUGACGCUAAGACGCGAAAGCGUGGGGAGCAAACAGG